AUCUACACUUCAACCAAGGAGAAUAAUAGAAUGAUUGAUAAAACCCUUAACCUCUAGAGUGUUACCUGAGGUUCACAUCCCAGCCUGCAGUCUCAUUCAUGUUGACGAAGAUUGCUACUCUCAACUGCAAGCUUGUUGCUGAUCUAGGCAUUCUAAUGUAUCUACAUGAAUGCUUAAAACAAUCUCUCAUUGAUGUCUGAAUCGCUGUGGGCAAGAAAACUCCGGAGAUACUAAUUUGGGAGCAAGCAACCGACUUGGUUCACACUAAUUGCAGGAACAUUGGCCUACAAAUCAACUCAUCAUUGAUUAAUAGAAAACCUGCAGGUAGUUGUGCUCCCAUGCAACUGCUGCCCUUGUCCUUCUUGGUGGUAGAGGUCACAGAUUAAGAAGGUGGUUUCAAAUGAACCUUG